rnacentral:lncRNA from 1 species
GAUUUAAAUAAAGUUAUAUUUGAUACAAGACAUAUGGAUACAAUACAACAGGGUGUGACAUGUAAUGAACAAGGACAAUAUGUAUUACCAAUACAACAGUUGUUACAGAUGCAAGAACAUGUGUUUAAUAGUGAAAUAGUAAAAAACGGAUCUAAGUGUGGGUCCAAAAGAAGAUCAAACGGAAGUUGUACAAGUGGUAGAACAAAUUAUGUAGGUUAUGAUAACAUGGCGGGAGUAACACAAAAUGAAACUGUAGAUGUAAAUUUGAAUGAAAAAAUUUGUUACGAAAAAAACUGUUGCAAAAAAAACGAAUUUGGAAUUUGUUAUGAACAUUCAGGUGAUUUGAAAAAAUUGAAUAAAAAGUGUAACUUAAAAAGUAAUCGAACCAGUGUUAAAAAUAACAAAAAUAGUAGUAAUGACGAUAGUAAUACAUCAAAAGAGCCGAUAAAAAAAGGUGGUAAAAGAAAUAGUUUAAAAAAAAAUAAUAACAGUGAUAAUAAUAAUAAUGAUAAUAAUAAUGAAAGAAACACGAAAGAAGAUGCUAAGGUUGGUAAAGUAAAAGAACGUAAGAAUAGAAAACAAAAAAGAAGAAAUAAAAAUACAGAAGAAGAUAAAAACAAUAAGGAACAAAAGGAUAUUUUGAAAUUAUCUGAAUGUGCGGAUGGACAAGGUAACUCGGAUUAUAUAAAAAUCAAACAUGUUUAUAAUAAUGACACAUGCUGUGAUAUAAGUGAUAGAAUACAGUGUGACAACCUGAGUAAUGUGCAGUGCUUAGGAAAAGCAAAUAAUAUUGACAUUAUUAACAACAUGAUUCAAAAAAAAAACAUAAAAAAUAAAUAAUGUAAGAAAGAUAGUACAAAUAUUAUAGAGGAUAGGGAUAGUACAAAUGGUAGUGAGAAUUUAAAAAAAAACAAUCCAAAACAGAUAUAAACUUGAUAAAAUAUAUGAACUGACUGAAGGAAGUGAUUUGAAAAAGAUAGAAAGUAGGACAGUUAUAAGUGAUAGUGGUAGUAAUAAUGAUAUUAGAAAUUAUAGCAACAUCUGUAACAAACAUUAUAGAAGUAACAAUACUGUUAAUAAUGGUAAUAAUGUAAAAGAUGAUAAUAGUAACAUUAUGAAUUCUCGAGAAAAGGUUUUAG